AUGUGUGUGUGGCGUGUUCUAGAGAGAGAAGGGGAAACAUCCUCUCCAGAAUUCAAGUCACAAAAUCAGUGAAUUGAAGGUAUAAUCCAAGCAAUUUCCUUGCAUGUUUGAAGAUUUUAACCCUCUAGCACCAUCUAAACCUUAGGUAUGCGAUGAAUUUGCGUGGGAGCUUGGAAAGGAAUGGGUCAAGUCGGUCAAGUGCGAGAGGAAGAUUGAAGGGACGCAAGGUAAGUAAAGCUUACACCUCCUAAAAUAAAACCAUAACUUAUGUGAUGAGAAACAUUUUGGGGAUAAAUGAGAAAUUGUAAAGAUGAGACCCAUGGUGAGAAUCGUGAGACAGGUCAAAUGGUAACUAAAUCGCACGUUGGUGAUUAAACAAAGAAUUUUGGAAAUAAGACCCUAAGGUGUAAAUCAUAACAGAUCAAAUAGGUAAAAUAAUAAGUAAGUGACACUUUAGUGAUUAAAUAAAUAACUUUGAAAAUAAGACCCUAUGGUGUAAACCAUAAUGGGUCAAUGGUUAAAUUGGUAAGUAACUCACAUGUUGGUGACUAAACAAAGAACUUUGGAAAUAAGACCAUAUGGGGUAAACCAUAACAGGUCAAAUGAGUAAAAUGGUAAGUAAAUCACAUGUUGGUGAUUAAACAAAGAAUUAUAGAGAUAAGACCCUAUGGUGUAACGGGUCAAAUGGGUAAAACUGGCAUUAAAUCACUUUUGUGACAAACAAUAUUUUGACAAGACGAGACCCUAUGGUAUAAACUAUAACGGGUCAAAUAGGUAAGAAUUGUGUUAAAACAUUUUUGGUGCAAACAAUAUUUUGAUAAGACGGGACGUUAUGGUAUAAACCAUAACAUUUCAAAUGGGUAAGAAUCGUGUUAAAUCACUUUUGUUGACAAACAAUAUUUUGAUAAGACGAGACCCUAUGGUAUAAACCAUAAUGGGUUAAAUGGGUAAGAAUGAUGUUGAAUCUCAUAUUAGUGAUAAACAAUAAAUUAUUAGGUUGAGAUGCCAAAAGGGUAACCAAGAAUGGAUCAAAUGGACAUGAGUAACCAAUGUAUUAUCACCAUUUGAACUUGGUAGUUAAUGCUUUGUCUUGUUAAGUUUCAUACUUACAUGUAAGCAUAAUGUAAAGGCAUGCAUUGCCAUGAACUGGCAAAGAGAAUCACAAGUUAUACUUUUGAAAAGGGCUUUACGACACGACUAAAUAUGGUUGAGCCAAAACUGGGUAAUUGUCCACCUCAAGUGUGGUUAUACUAGUAAUUGGGAUGACCCUUAGAGUCAAGAAUGUCUAUGAUGUAAAAAUAUGGCUAAAUGAUUUUAAAAUACAAGGCCAUUGAAAACCUUUAUGUCCUAAAGGACAAAUAAAUCUUAAUCAGAUGACGAGUUAAAUGUGCCCAAUAUAUUUCAUUUAAACUUGUAAACUUCUCCCAGUUUGGUAAAAGGCUUUAAAUUGACUAAAGUGCUCUCAGAUAAUGAGUUUAAGUAAUAUGCUUAUCCAAAAGAAAGUAUGGGGAAAACAUUGACAAAUAGUAUAGGAGCCUUGAGCUAGAACACUCUAUGCCUUCUUAACAGGUCGGUUGGGUAAAACGCUGAACCGAACAAAAGAAUUAGAAAUUUAAGAAACCGGGUCCCUAUUGUGAAUAUCAGGUUGAGGCUUAAAAGGAAAAGUUUGUGAAGUGCAUGCUUCAGCAAAGUGCACGCUACAGCAAAAGUGCACGCUUCAGCAGAGUGCACGCUACAACAGAGUGCACGCUUCCGUAAAGUGCACAUAUUUAGUCGUCGCAGCAAAAUACAUCUGAAGGCGUUUCUGUCGCGAUACCCGACGACCCCCAGUUAUACUUUCUUUUGUCAUUUUUAGAUCCGUUAACACAAAUGAAAUAUAAACACUAAUCGUUUUUGGUGAUUAUGACAGGUUAUAAAAAGGCGGGAAACCAAAUGAAAGACCAAGCACGCAAAGAACCGAACACUCCUAAACCACCAUCUCCCUGGAAACAUCUUUUUCAGGAAAGAUA
rnacentral:lncRNA from 1 species